GUGAAUCAUCAAAUUUUUGAACGCAAAUUGCACUCUCCUCGGGGAGGAUGCCUGUUUGAAGUUCAGCCUAUAAAGAAUCGACAUCGUUGCUGUUUCGCUGUUGCGUUCGUCGGAAAGUGGGUCAUCUUUUAUCGUUUGGUUUUAAGCGACUUAAAAUUUUCUUUUUGGUUCCGUGUACGUUUUUAAGAUUGAUUUCUUUACACGUUUAAGGCAUCGAUUUUUAGUAGACGUGACCAUCAUAUCGGAUCGCGCCCAUAAUCUUGCAUUAACUGACCUAAUGCAGGUA
rnacentral:misc_RNA from 1 species